rnacentral:snRNA from 1 species
AUCGCUUUUCUGCCCUUUUGGCUAAGACCAAGUGUAGUAUUGUGCUUUACAAUUUAA